UCUCCUCCGCUUUUGCAGCGCUACUCCACCUCAUCUCGCACGCCGCCGCCGAGAUCCUCUGCCACCGGCGAUGCGAUGCCGGCUGGCCAUGGCCACCACCACCUUCAGUUUCUUCUAUCCCUGCCAUGGCUGCUCUACCAAACGCCACCGCGGCGAGCUGCGCCUGCAGUCGCGGCGAGCCGAGCCCAUGGAUGUGAGGCCGUGGUGCGGCCGGCCUACGGCGGAGCCUGUUGCAUCCUUGGAUCAGCGGCCAUGUCCAAGGUAACGCGUUGCAACCGGUGAGAUGCGACGCUGGAACCGGUGUGGGGAUUUGCUUCAACCGGCGGGAGAUUUGCUUCAACCGGCGAGGAUGGUGGUGGGGCGGCGACCGUGGUGGGCUGUGAGGAGCGCCGACGGCGACGGCGAGCAGCGAGCGGCCAACGGUGGGGAGCCAGCGAAGCUUCGAGGUCGUGCGGGCAAGGAUCGAUGGCGUUCGUGUGUGUUUUUUAUCCAUGCAUGCGAGGCAGAAAGACAGGGAGGGAAAAGGAAAAAGAAAAGAGAUCUGACGAUUCGCAUCUUUUAGAUCGGGUGGCUAGCAGCUGACCGGCCGAAGGGUUAGGCCGGUGCGCCGGCGCCUAGUAGUGCCCAUUCAGAAAAGCUUUGGGAUUUUUUC